UACGGAGGGAGCUAGCGUUAUUCGGAAUUACCGGGCGUAAAGCGCACGUAGGCGGCUUUGUAAGUUAGAGGUGAAAGCCCAGAGCUCAACUCUGGAACUGCCUUUAAGACUGCAUCGCUUGAAUCCAGGAGAGGUGAGUGGAAUUCCGAGUGUAGAGGUGAAAUUCGUAGAUAUUCGGAAGAACACCAGUGGCGAAGGCGGCUCACUGGACUGGUAUUGACGCUGAGGUGCGAAAGCGUGGGGAGCAAACAGG
rnacentral:rRNA from 1 species